CGGCCCCUGGAGGAGAUGCCCUCUUUCCGCCGGCCCCCAGCGGAGGCAGCGUUCUCGCAGCUGGGGCCACAGCCUGUGCAGGGGCGCCCGUCUUCCUCUCAGCUCGUCCCACCGGGCAGGCUCUGGUGCAGGUGCAGGUGCAGGGUACCGGCUCUCUGGAGGAGGGGCUAGGGUCACAGAAUAAGCCGGGGAGAAGAGAGCGGGCAACCUGGUGUGGAUUUCGAGGCGUUCCAGGCGACACGCGUGGCCAGCAGAAGCACCCUGCCGCUGUCCUGCGCCCCUCUCCCGCCUGGAUCCUCCGUCUGCUGCAGGACACUGUCCUUGGAGAUCAGUCGGGCCAGCCGUGCUUCCGGGACACGGGCUGGCGCUGGGGCCGCAGUGGGCACCACGCUGCAUCACAGUAGACCUUCAGCUGCUGGGCAGAGUCCCAGCGGACAGUGACCUCGGGCUCGUCUAGUUUUGACUGUGUUGAGAAUGAAGCAGAGACCACAGCCGGAAAGAAACCGAAUUCCGGCUGAUGACACAGGCUCGGACUGCCAGCCUGCUGUAGCCUCUGAUUCCCGGCCAGGGACCCAAACAUGUCGCAUCCUGGGGACAAGAACUGCUACUCUGCUGUCCCCACAGCCCACCAGGAUCUUAAACUCCGCCCCGACCUGCCCACUGCCAAGGGGAUGUCCCAGCCAGAGUGACUUAGUUCUCAGCCAUUGCAGGAUGGAAAUCGGGUGCUCAUGAACAUCCCCAUUGUCUGCCUGCUUCUUCGGGCCUUCCAAGGGGGUGAGGGAGCCCCGCCCCUGCCUGCCGCUGACCUCAGCCAUCUGUCCUCAAAGCAGCCCCGUGACCGGCCUCUUAGGAUCCUCAUUUGGUCAGCGAACAAACUGAGGUUCCGACAUCAUUUCUGAAAGUUCCCUGAAGGCCCGGCCCUCGAAUUACACUUGGGACUGGUGGCAGCUGGUCAGAGAACUCCCCUCGGCUGAAGGAACCAGGAAGGAGCCCCCCACCACGGCCAGGGCUGUGAGAAACUGGUGCCCCUUGGCACGCACCCCUCCCCACGGCCAGGCAGGCCUGGUGGGCUUCCCGGGGCACCUCGUGGUGUGGGCCUCCAACCUGCGCACCUCCUCCUCAGGCCUAGGUCACGAGGCAGAUCCGCACCCAGUUCCUAGAAUUUCCUGCUGACCCUGGGAAGCUGAGACUCAGACUGCUGUGUUCUUGGGCUCCACGGCUGCUCGGAGAGCUCCCUCAGCCCCACCGUGCUUGUUCUGGGGCCACCUGGGCUGGUAGACAAGGCAACCAGCAGCUGCUGGCUUUGCAACAGGCUCACCUCCCCCUGGCUCUGAGCCCUUCCACCCUGACCUCAGUGACUGUGGACGGCAGGUCAGCUUCCCCCGCCGCCGAGGAGAUUACCACGCUCCGCCCAGCCCUCCUGUCACGCAGUCCCAGUCCCCAGGGUGACUAAUCGGAUCUCUGGGCUGAACCCAUGCAGCUUUCCUCCCAGCGGCUCUGAUGACCCCGGCGGAGUGCAGGCUGGGUCACUGGGAGAUGAAUCCCUGCUUUGCGUUUGAAUUCUUUCAUCUCCACCAUCUUCUGAAAAGUCUGCCUCCGGCCACAGAAGUGUCAAGGGCAGACUCUGCUCUCUUGUUCCUGAUCCCAGGGAGUCACUCAGCCUGUCAGCACUAAGCAGUGAUAGCUGUCAGUUGUUCGAAGGUGCUCAUUAUCUGGUGAAGUUACUUUCUGGUCCUAGUUUGGUGAAUCCAUCCCAAGGCCAAUGGAUGUUAUGAAUAUUUUGUCAAGAUGAUCAUAGGGUUUUCUACUUUUGAUCUGUUCAUAUGGUGAAUUACAUUGUUUGAAAAAUCUCACAUUCUUGGGUUAAAGCUCAUUUCGUCAGGACAAAUAUUUAACAUAGAUUGGUGCUGGGGAUUGAAUCCCUUUGCACUGAGCUACAUACCCAAUUCCUUUUAAAUUUUUAUUUUGAAAUAGAGUCUAAGUUGCUAAAUUGCCUAGACUGUGCUCAAAUUUUUGAUCCUCCUGCC
ensembl:lncRNA